GCUAAUUCGUUGUGAUAACGAAUUUAGACAUUAUCUCUUUGUUAUAAUUUGUUUUAAACAUUAAUGUGUCUAUAAUUAUUCUUUAUUUUUACAAUGGACAAUAAUAAUGACAAUUUUUAUUUAUUUUUAAUAUUUUCAACGACGAGUGUACAGCGUACAUUAUACGUUUAGAAUAACAAUCGACCAUAUUGCUUUUUGGGACGAUUACGAUUUUAGAAUCAGAUUCAGUCUAUCCAAAUAUGUAGUCCUGGAGGUUCUGAGAUACAUUUAUGGUGAUAUAUCUUCACAGUCGGAAAGUGAAGUUUAUGAACCACUCCUUAAGUCUAUAUGGGAGACAACUCGUAUAUUAUAAUUAUGAACUAUCUGAUCAUACGAGGCUACUACCUGUGUUUGUCAACCAGUUUGUGUAUGAAGAUAAUGGGAGGAAAAUCGUUUAUUUUGGGAGGAAACUUGUAUGCAUCGGGACGUCCAUACCAGAGAAUAACGUGUAUACCUACCUACAUAUUUCGAUCGAUUUCUUGUUUCCAGAGAUACUCGACAAUAUUUCAAUCUCCGUUCUUCAAACACGCUUGUAUCCGGUCACACAACUGCAGAUACAGUCUAUAACGGUGUCAUCCAAUGUGCAAUAUAUCGAGUUAUAUAAUAUUUCGGAAGCUUUAUGUGUGACAACGAUGAAUGUUCCAAAAUUCAGAGAUCUUCGGCUCGAUCGUGUAAACAUGUGAUAAUGUGUUUGGGCGAUUUGGAGUUACAAUGAGUUGAAAAUUCUGGGCACUCAUUCAAUCAGAAUUUGAAUACAUUUAUAUUUAAAUGAAAAAUUGAGGGUGAUCAGGAUGUUAUACUUACUUACAUUGAAAAAAAUAAUCAUUAUGAAUAACAAGUAAUUUUCAUUUGCGGUAUACAAAGUGUUAUUUUUAUAUUGAUUGAGUUAUAUUAUAUAUCAAUUGACACGUCAAGGAUAUCCAUGAACGAGUGUUUUUAGAGAAAUUUGCGAGAUUGUACAGAUUAAUACAAGUAUCCGCUGCAAUGAGCCCCUUUAAAAUUAUAAAUUGACGUACGAAUCGUUUCUUACAUGAAAAUGUGGAAUAUACAAAAAAAAUUGAGCCAUAAAAUUGAGUAUAAAAUUUGCUCCGUCACAAUUUUUCAAAUAUUUUUAAAAUUACUUCAAUUUGAUAAAAAUAAUGUACUGCAACCAAUGUUCGGAACGGACAAGCAAUGUUGGUUUACUUGGAAACAAGCCUCUAUAAGGAAGCCCGCGGGGUUUGAUUCGGCAUUCGAUUUGAACAGGAAAUAAGUUUGUUAUUGUUAUAACUUAUAUAGAUGACAGAUUUCUAUUGUAAAAACUAAAAGAGAUAAACAAUAAACGUUAUCAUA